rnacentral:tRNA from 1 species
AUUUAAAUAAUUUAAUUAAAAUAUUGACUUGUGGUGUCAAAAUUAUGAAUAAAAUUUCAUUUUAAAUA